UACGUAGGGUGCGAGCGUUGUCCGGAAUUACUGGGCGUAAAGAGCUCGUAGGUGGUUUGUCGCGUUGUCCGUGAAAACUCACAACUCAAUUGUGGGCGUGCGGGCGAUACGGGCAGACUGGAGUACUGCAGGGGAGACUGGAAUUCCUGGUGUAGCGGUGGAAUGCGCAGAUAUCAGGAGGAACACCGGUGGCGAAGGCGGGUCUCUGGACCGGUACUGACGCUGAGGCGCGAAAGCCAGGGGAGCGAACGGG
rnacentral:rRNA from 1 species